UCUUCUUUCUUCUCUCUCUCUGAAACCCGUGCUUGAUUGGUAUAGGAAGCAAUAUGCGUGAAUGAAAAGGAAUAAAAGCAGAAACAAAGAAACUUUAUUCUGUCUUUGUCUGUUCUU
rnacentral:ribozyme from 14 species